UACAAAUUCUCAACCACCAAAAUCUUCCCAAAAAACUUCAAACUGAUAACCAUUCAACCAACUGUCAUAACCGCCUACCAACUGAAAAAACCUGAAGGACCUCUAACUUCAUAACAAAGUAAACACAACCAUCUUCCAAAACUUCUUCAAACCACCUUGCUUCAAUCAUAACCACCUGCAAAAAAUAAUAGAACUUGACAAACCUAUUGAACCAAAGGCAGUGCAACUUAAAUAUCCCAAAAAGAGACUUCUUCGAUAACUACCCUGCUCACAGAACCAUCAUAACAAUUCUGAACCUCUUCUAACUCCCCUUAACUUCUUCAACAAACUUUCCAUAACCUGCAUAACUUCACCCUCUAAUUUCCAUAACAAAACCCUGCAACAGAACCUCUUAAAAGAGAAUUCCAAACCACCCAAAUCCACAACUUCCUAACUGAAUAACAAAAACUCCAUAACAAAAUUUCAAAAGAAAAAACUCAGCGUUCGCUCUUCAUCAUUCAAG
rnacentral:lncRNA from 1 species